rnacentral:rRNA from 1 species
GACGAACGCUGGCGGCGUGCCUAAUACAUGCAAGUCGAACGCAGUGGGGACGGGUGAGUAACACGUGGGUAACCUCCCAUCAGAGGGGAUAACCCUUGGAAACAGGUGCUAACCCGCUACUGAUGGAUGGACCCGCGGUGCAUUAGCUCGUUGGUGAGGUAACGGCUCACCAAGGCCACGAUGCAUAGCCGACCUGGGAGGGUGAUCGGCAACACGGGGACUGGGACACGGCCCAGAAUCCUACGGGAGGAAGCAGUAGGGAAUCUUCGGCAAUGGACGAAAGUCUGACCGAGCAACGCCGCGUGAGUGAAGAAGGGUUUCGGAUCGUAAAGCUCUGGUGUUAAGGAAGCGGUACUUAACCAGAAAGGGACGGCUAACUACGUGCCAGCAGCCGCGGUAAUAC